rnacentral:rRNA from 1 species
CCUACGGGUGGCAGCAGUGGGGAAUAUUGCGCAAUGGGCGAAAGCCUGACGCAGCGACGCCACGUGAGGGAUGAAGGUCUUCGGAUCGUAAACCUCUGUCAGCAGGGAAGAACGGUCACUGUGCUAAUCAGCAGUGAAUUGACGGUACCUGCAAAGGAAGCACCGGCUAACUCCGUGCCAGCAGCCGCGGUAAUACGGAGGGUGCGAGCGGUAAUCGGAAUUACUGGGCGUAAAGCGCUCGUAGGCGGUAUGUCAAGUCAAGGGUGAAAUCCCCGCGCUCAACGUGGGAACUGCCUUUGAAACUGGCAAACUGGAGUGUGUGAGAGGAUAGUGGAAUUCCAGGUGUAGGAGUGAAAGCCGUAGAUAUCUGGAGGAACAUCAGUGGCGAAGGCGACUAUCUGGCACAUAACUGACGCUGAGGAGCGAAAGCGUGGGUAGCAAACAGGAUUAGAUACCCCAGUAGUC